rnacentral:lncRNA from 1 species
GUGAUUAGUCUGAGUUUCCUAGCCCGCGAAUACUGUACUUUAGAGCAGAGGUUCUCAACCUUUUCUUAUGACCCACCUGAUUACAACUUGAAAUAUCGUUCUGCGCGGGCCGCGAGUUUGUAACGGUAAACGGUACUUACAGAUCAGCCUGCUGGAGCCGGUAGUUCUAGCUGCUCUGCUCCGGGUUUCUGUCCGCAGUUGAAGGUCUUCGCUGGGUUGUAGCGGCUCCGGUUCUGGUUCUGCAGGAUCUUGUUCAGGGGUGAAGAUAUGGAGCAGCUCUGCGCGGGCCUGGAAGCGACUCAUGCCUAUAUAGGAGAUGGAGUCGCGAGUCGCGACCCCUGGGGUCGCUGAAUCAGAGAACAUGAGGAUCGGAAGCGAAGAUCGAAGAAUAAGUGCAUCAAUCGGAGGGAGCGAGCAAGGAAUCCUGCGUGGAUUCGGGUUUAUAUUCAGUAAAGCUGCAGAUUCAGACAAGUUCAGGUUCCAGCUUUUAAUACAGGUAACACAGGUAAGAAUUUACACAAAACACACACCUACAGCCUCCUACACACGUCCCAGUUCACACAUACAGAUAUAUUAAUAAUACUCAUUUAUAGAUAAGUUCAUACAGAUCAGUCCAAGUAUGGAAUUUUGUAAGUGAUCUGAUAUCUCCCCCUGCUGGAGAGAUAUGGAGGAACCAAAGUCAUGACUGACCUUCUGUCCCAACUGAAAACCUGUGGAAGAAGAUCAACAUCAACACCCACAAGAGAUAACCAAAUAACCUGGAGAACUCAGAGCAGAUCUGCAUGAAGAGUGAACCAGGAUUAACUCCAGAGUCCUAUAUAAGAUCUGAUCAGUGCUUAUAAAAACAAUUAAUAACUGUAAUUGCAAACCAGGGUUAUUCCACAAAGUAUGAAACCUAUGGGUUAAAUAAACAUCGAUCAAUCAAUCA